rnacentral:misc_RNA from 1 species
ACACAAUUGUCAGCCAUGAUGCCUGCUCCACCACCUAAACCAUCAUUGGGAGGCUUGUCUCACAACGAAAUCCUAAUGAAUGAGGCUCUGGAGAAAGUGCGAAGAGCUCAAGAACUGCAGGCCAAGAUACAGAAUCAGAUGUCGGGUCUUAUGCAGGGUAAAGGAGGUCAGCCCCCAGCAAUUCCUACCAAACCUACCCCAUUGAUCCUGGAUGCUGAAGGUCGAACGAUUGACGCCAAAACAGGACAGACGGUUCAGCUGACCCAUCACACACCAACCUUAAAGGCCAACAUCCGAGCAAAGAGAAGAGAACAAUUUAAAGAACUGAUAGAAAAACCAACAGAGGAGAUCACAGUGGGGAAAUACUUUGAUCCCAGAGUCGGCGCAAGGCAAGCUCAGAGGCCAAAACGAGGAUUCAAGUUCCACGAGCAAGGAAAAUUUGAGGCAGUUGCCUCCAGACUGCGUGCCAAGGCUCAACUGGAGAUUCUACAAACUGAAAUUGCACAAGCUGCCAAAAAGACAGGUAUCGCUUCUGCAGCAAAACUAGCCACCAUUGCACCAAAGAAAGAGCUGAGAGAAGGGGAGAUCCCAGAAGUGGAAUGGUGGGACAGCUUCCUCCUGCCCAUGGACAGCUAUGAGGGGAUCGAGGACCGGCUGACGGACGGACAGUUUGAUGGAAUAACCCACCUAGUGGAACACCCCAUACAGCUCAAACCUCCAAAUGUACCUGAAAAAGAACCACAAGUCCCUGUUUAUCUCACAAAGAAAGAGAGAAAAAAGUUACGACGACAGAAUCGACAAGAAAAUCAGAAGGAGGUCACAGAAAAAAUUCGCCUUGGGCUUAUCCCUCCACCAGAACCAAAAGUUCGCAUGGCUAACUUGAUGAGGGUAUUAGGAACUGAGGCAGUACAGGACCCUACAAAAGUCGAGGCCCAUGUCAGAGCACAAAUGGCAAAAAGACAGAAAGCCCAUGAGGAGGCUAAUGCUGCUCGCAAGCUGACAACGGAACAGAGGCGGACAAAAAAGGAGAAAAAACUGAAGGAGGAUACCAGCCUUGGGGUUCAUGUGUCUGUCUAUAGGUUACGAGAUUUGACAAAUCCGGCAAAGAAGUUUAAGAUUGAAGCCAACGCCAAGCAGCUCUUCAUGACGGGGAUAGUCAUCAUGCACAAGGAAUGCAAUGUGGUGGCGGUUGAGGGAGGGCCCAAACAACAGAGGAAAUUCCGGCGACUAAUGCUUCAACGAAUCAAGUGGAACGAGGACAAGCACAAGAAGUCUGCAAAGGAUGAUGAUGACAGUGAUUCAGAAGAGGAGCAGGACAAAUCAAACAAAUGUGUUCUAGUAUGGGAGGGCACUACCAAACAGAGAGCUUUCACAGACUUCAAGUUCAAAGUGUGCCCCACAGAGGCGUUCGCCCGAGAGCAGUUUAAGAAGUGUGGGGUGGAGCAAUACUGGGACUUGGCAUUCAGUGGUGCGGUGUUAGAAUCCACUCAAGACGAAGACUUUUUAUAGCCGGUAAACGGGACUUAACUUUCAGUGAUACAGUGUUUUGAGUCCUGGCACCUGGGAGGAGGACUUUUUAGGGCUGGUAAAUGGUGCUUCUGUUGAUGUAAAAUCCAAUGUUAGAGACACAGUUAUUUACCACUUCAAUUGAAAUUAUAAAUAUGUUGUGAGAAGAAAGGGUGUGCAAGAGUUAAGGUUUUGAAAGAGAAAUGUGUUAUCAUCAUAAUCUACGUUCUUGAUGCAGCAAUGUUAUCAUUUUAAUGAAGUACGAAAUUAAAGAACUGAAGAAUAUUUGUGAAACUUGUGAGGAAGACUGUCAAAUUUCACCUUCAUGGAAAUGGUUCUGCAAAUAGAAUAAAAAGAGGAAUGACAAAUUUGACUUUAAUUAUGUCUUAUCAAAUAAAUUCAUCCUAUAAUCAU